rnacentral:rRNA from 1 species
GAUGAACGCUAGCGGCAGGCUUAACACAUGCAAGUCGAGGGGUAUGCCGAUUUAUCGGCAGAGACCGGCGCACGGGUGCGUAACGCGUAUGCAAUCUACCUUUCACAGAGGGAUAGCCCAGAGAAAUUUGGAUUAAUACCUCAUAGUAUAGCAGUUUCGCAUGAAACCACUAUUAAAGUUCCAACGGUGAAAGAUGAGCAUGCGUCCCAUUAGCUAGAUGGUAAGGUAACGGCUUACCAUGGCUACGAUGGGUAGGGGUCCUGAGAGGGAGAUCCCCCCACACUGGUACUGAGACACGGACCAGACUCCUACGGGAGGCAGCAGUGAGGAAUAUUGGUCAAUGGACGCAAGUCUGAACCAGCCAUGCCGCGUGCAGGAUGACGGUCCUAUGGAUUGUAAACUGUCUUUUGUACGAGAAGAAACAACAUUACGUGUAAUGUCUUGACGGUAUCGUAAGAAUAAGGAUCGGCUAACUCCGUG